rnacentral:rRNA from 1 species
ACGAACGCUGGCGGCGUGCUUAACACAUGCCAGUCGAACGGAAAGGCCCUGCUUUUGUGGGGUGCUCGAGUGGCGAACGGGUGAGUAACACGUGAGUAACCUGCCCUUGACUUUGGGAUAACUUCAGGAAACUGGGGCUAAUACCGGAUAGGAGCUCCUGCUGCAUGGUGGGGGUUGGAAAGUUUCGGCGGUUGGGGAUGGACUCGCGGCUUAUCAGCUUGUUGGUGGGGUAGUGGCUUACCAAGGCUUUGACGGGUAGCCGGCCUGAGAGGGUGACCGGCCACAUUGGGACUGAGAUACGGCCCAGACUCCUACGGGAGGCAGCAGUGGGGAAUAUUGCACAAUGGGCGGAAGCCUGGUGCAGCAACGCCGCGUGCGGGAUGACGGCCUUCGGGUUGUAAACCGCUUUCGCCUGUGACGAAGCGUGAGUGACGGUAAUGGGUAAAGAAGCACCGGCUAACUACGUG